CGGCUCUCUCCUUCGGCCGUUUUGCUAUUCGUCUGUCUGGCGACUAAGACUGGCGUGGGUCUCUAGUGCUGCCUUCUAUGCAGCAGCAGAUGUUUAUUGAGAUUUGCCAUAGUGCACAACUCUAGGGGGUAUGUAAAUAACUGUUCUUGACCUCAGGAAGCUUUUAAGAACUGGAUAAGAAACGGAACUAUACAAACAGGUAUAGAGGACAGAAUACUGAGAUGAAUAAACAAACAGCUGUGGAGGUUGAGGGAGAGAUCAUAUGAUCUCUCAAGUAAGGCCCUUAGCCAAAUUUUCAGGCCUAAUCUUUAGACCUAAAUUUCCAAUUGUUUCUAAGUCUUAUUUAUUCAUUCAGACUCUAAAAUAUCUUUUCUGUCCCCCUUUUUAUUUUCAGACUCUAAAAUAUCUUUUCUGUCCCCCUUUUUAUUUUACUACCAGAUCAGUCUAUUGCAAUGUAUCACUAUAAAAGAUCCCAACACAAGUCUGCAGAAAAGGACCUGCUCACUUUGUUGUACCCACUAAGUGCUGGGCCCUGUUUUCCAAUCAAAGGGUCUGCUGAAGGAGCUCACUCUGUACCAGUUAGGGGGAUGCAGUAUCACCGUGUGUUCAUCACUGAUACCUAUAGUUCCCUGUAACUCAUCUCUUCCCUCAUGGAGCCACCUUGAUUUCAUUAAGAAUCUUUUUUGAGGAGAAAAAACAUCAACUCAAAAAUAAAAGUAAAAUAUGACUGAAAGUAUUUAAAAAUAUUAUCUUUACCAAUUAACUAAUCUGUCUUAUCAUAAGCAGUCCGGGCAACUGUGAUUCUCUGAGCCUCAAGUAGGGCCUGGAAUUCUAGCCUAAAUCCAGACUAUCCUUUGUUAAACUGAAAUCUAAAACCCAUUGUUGGUGAUGAGUUUAUCUGUCUUCCCCUUUACCCCAAGUGAUACUCCAUCUCUGUCCUCAAAACUUUUAGAAGGACAAUGAAACAAUCAUUAUUCUUUGUUUCUUAUGAGUUCGGCCCCUGUCAAUCCAAGUUUUCUCUAGGUUAGGAAAUCAAAGUCUAGUUCUUCAAUUCACUCUUUACUAAGCAAUAGGUACAUCUUACACUUUAUAGCAGAGCAUGUUUUUCAGUUUGGUGAAAUGGAUGUUACAAGUAUUAUUUUUCUUAUUUCACAGAUAAGGAAAAUGGGGCCUAGAAAAAGUUGACUUUCCCCCAAUUAUAGUUAAUGAUGUUCAAAGCUGGAGCUCAAAACUAUUUUUUCCACAUCUGCCUCUUUUUUCACUAUUUGUUAUUGUCACUAUUUGUUAUUGUCAUCCUAUGUGAUAUCUCCCAAAGAAAAGA